rnacentral:rRNA from 1 species
GACGAACGCUGGCGGCGUGCUUAACACAUGCAAGUCGAACGGAAAGGCCCUGCUUUUGUGGGGUGCUCGAGUGGCGAACGGGUGAGUAACACGUGAGUAACCUGCCCUUGACUUUGGGAUAACUUCAGGAAACUGGGGCUAAUACCGGAUAGGAGCUCCUGCUGCAUGGUGGGGGUUGGAAAGUUUCGGCGGUUGGGGAUGGACUCGCGGCUUAUCAGCUUGUUGGUGGGGUAGUGGCUUACCAAGGCUUUGACGGGUAGCCGGCCUGAGAGGGUGACCGGCCUCAUUGGGACUGAGAUACGGCCCAGACUUCUACGGGAGGCAGCAGUGGGGAAUAUUGCACAAUGGGCGGAAGCCUGAUGCAGCAACGCCGCGUGCGGGAUGACGGCCUUCGGGUUGUAAACCGCUUUCGCCUGUGACGAAGCGUGAGUGACGGUAAUGGGUAAAGAAGCACCGGCUAACUACGUG